GCUAUUUCCUUUCAUUUCUUCAAUCAUUAGCAGUUAGCUUUUAAAUUCAAAAAAAAAAAAAAAACAAUUUUUUUUUACUGUUUCAUUAAGUUUGAAUGUUUAUUUUAUCUUCUGGAUAUUGAAUCAGCUGUUUAUAGUUCCAGCCUUUGCUACUUUAGUUGAUUUCCAGUGGAAUUACUGGUUUGAAUCUAGUUUUGAGAGUCUACUGGACAUUUGUGUGUUAGUGAUUAUUCUGUGUUCAAUUGAAGUUCGGGUGAGUUUGUCCAAGUUGGUUUUGGGCUGAUUUGGUAGCUGCUAUUGGACUGUUGAGUACUUCUGGGUCUUUGAACUCGUUCCUGGGUUUUGGAUUGUCUUUGAUUCCAACUCGUGCUUGCUGUUGCUGUUUGUUAACUGUUGGAACUGCUACUGCCACUGAUUCUCAUCUUAUAUUCUCAUCCAAUCUCAGGUACACACUGGAAAUUCAUAUGACGAUUGACUUGAAAAAGGGAAUAAAAUUGUUACUUAGUUGAUCCUGAAGCAUGUUGCGUGAAUAGUUGUGUGUUGUUAGUUAAAUAGGCUUGAGGCAUAAUUGGUCUGCCCGUUUGAAAUCAGUUCGUGUGCACAGGAAUUCAGCAUUGUCUAAUUUAUACUGAAAUAGAUUAUUUUCUAUAUUGUUAUGUCAUUUGAAUUCAAUUGUGAUACAUGUUUUAGUAUCUGAAUGUGGUAUAUGAAUGUUAGAAUCUGAUUGUAAAACUGUUACUGCUGAACUCGAAUUAUGAGUUAAAUGUCUGGCCAAAUAUGGUAGCUAUAGAAGUAAAAUCAGAUAGUUUUAUGCCAACUUCUGUAGUCAGGUUUGAAGCAAUGAAUUCAUUUAAGUAAUUAAAACGCUGGUUCAGUAAUGUUGACUUGAGUUUAUCUAAAAUAAUUAGUUUGCCUUGAAUUCACAACUGCAUUUGUGCCUAUAUAGCGUUGAAAGAAAUCAUGAAAUUGAGUUAUUGUACUUGUUGAUUGAAUUCACAUGUUUAGUUAAGUUUACAUCUUAGUGACAUUUAAGAACUUACUGCUAAGCAUAUAAGUAGACAAUUUACGUUGGAAUUAAAAUCCAAGUGAUGAAUGACCCUUUUGUUAUAAUCAUUGAAUGCUUGAAGAACAAACUUCAGUGGGUUUGACCCAGUUAAAUAAAGACACUAUAUGGUCGGUCACUGUAAUUAACUUGGGCUUUAAGUGCCUUAACAGGUGGCCCAGGUUGGUGGCUGGCCUGCCCGUUACGAAUGCUGGCAUGUUGAAAUUCAAGUGGGCUAUGUUUAAGGCCCAAGCUGUUUGAGUAAAUAAUUCAUAGGCCCUAAUAUAGUAAAUAAAGGGAUUUAUACUUAUCUAUACCAUAUAGCAAAACUUAUUACCUCCCAUGUUUAAGGUUUGUGUUUAUUACAUUUAAGUAUACAAAAUUUCAAUUUAUGUACCAUAAUUCAAAUUAAGGGUAUAAUUAUUGCUUCAUUUAUUCUAGGCAUGGUUUUAGUAACAUAUAUUCAUUUUCCCUUUUUUUCCUCCCCU
rnacentral:lncRNA from 1 species